rnacentral:lncRNA from 10 species
AAGAACUGAUGUGGGAAACAGUGGCAGAGAGUUAGAGAAAGCAAUGUCAACAUGGGAGCCUUGGAGAAAUUUUUCUUGAAGAGUACUUAAGUCAAUAAUACCAAGGAGAAUGCAAAGACUACAAGACUUCAGAGUCACAGCUGGCUACAAACCCACCCCCUGCACCCAGUACCACUAGCUGGAGACACUGGAAGAUGCUCUUGUUAUUCUCGGAUCACCGCCUACCCCCAAAACCCAUCCUCCCUGCUGCCUUACCUGAGAAGUUGAACCCCAGAGACAGAAAGGAUCACCUGCACUCCUUGUACUGGGCCUUCCCAUCGGCCAACGUGUGGCAUGAACGAGGCUGCAUCCCUCUUCCAUAGCACCUGCACUCGUAGGCUCUGCAAAUUUCAUCCCCACCUUUGGCCCUUCAGGCCUAGGGCAAGUCACAGCUCCCCAGAACUGUUCAUCCCCAGGUGUCUCGCCAUCCCUAGAUAGCACCUGUAAGCCUGACUACACCUCUGUAAAGCGUGCCCUUCAUUAAAUUUUCUUCUGUUAA